rnacentral:lncRNA from 1 species
AAGAAAGGGGUUUUCUAGCUGGGGAGACAGCAAGAAGUUUGGGGGAAGGGGGCUCAGGUUAGCAGCUGUUUAAAAAUGCGCUGGUGGCAGCUUUGGGGUCCCAGUGGCAGUUUAUAGUUUGAAGGGAAGGGAUGGCCUCCUUUCCCAUCCCACUCCAAGUCCCCCCUCCCCCCACCCUCCUGCUGAAUGCCAGAUGCAGCCCAUCCCGCCUGGGUGGGACCAGGAUGGAGCUAAGGCCAUGACCUUGACCUAAGAGCUCUACCAUUCCAUGUCCACUGCCAGUUACUUGGGAUGAAAGUGAAGAAAUACUUUCAGCUUUGGCAUUGCUGUGUGGCAUCUUCAGGAGGAAUCACUGGAAACAAGAGAAACUGUCACCUGUUGGGGGCACAUUGGGAAGACCUAGACCUUCCACAGAGAACCCACUUGUCUGAUGAUCCUUAAGAAGAGGG